rnacentral:lncRNA from 1 species
AAAUACUUUUAAAAUAUGUUAAUGACCAAAAUAAUAUAAUAAGGAUUUCGUUAAUGUCUCAAGCGUUACCCUUUCUUGAACGAAGUAGGAGAACAACUUGGCUGCGUGCAAACCGCGAUUCAGACAUACUGACAUUAUUAAAGGACCCUGUAUUUCGCUUGUUCAUCAUCUAUAUAUAGAUGUAAGCAUGCAUUACAGAAUUCCAACAAAGGACACGAGGUCCCCUCAGGAGUACAAGAUCACAGCUCUCGUGGCAACAACAUCGGCCACAACGUAUGAUCGAAGCAGCAGCAGUAAAACUAAUUUAUUAGGGAAACAGUAGAACUAGUAAAGCAGUAAAUCAAACGGGGUGGAGCCAUGCAGCAAGGACGGCUGGCUUCCACGAUUUAUUUCGCUCUCACCAUGCAUCUGAAAUGGUUCCGGUCUCACGCUUAACGCACCCUGCAUACAUCAAAUGAAAGUUAAAACAAAACAAUCAUUUGUUAAUUCGUUAACUCAUGUGUCCAUCAGUCCAUGCAUGUAAUCAUAUAGAUCUAUGAAAAGUCCUAAAGCUGUAGCAUUAGGGCAACUGGGUAAGUAAUUACUUGGAGCAAUCGGUUCCUUGGCUGAUGGCGUAGGGGAUGUUGACGCCGCACUUGCCGGGGAUGCCGGCGACGAGGUUGGGCUUGAUGCCGCCCAUGCCGCUCGCCUGCUGCUUGAGACAGGUGCAGGUGGUCUUGCGGUCGGCGGGGGUGGCAGCGGCCGCGUUAAGGCCACGCACGCCGCUGCAGCAGCCGCCGCCAGGCACAC